CAAUAGCGUAUAUUAAAGUUGUUGCAGUUAGAACGCUCGUAGUCGGAUUUCGGGGCGAGCCUUCCGGUCUGCCGAUGGGUAUGCACUGGUCGGGUCGUCCUUCCUUCCGGAGACCGUCCCUACUCUUAACUGAGCGGGGGCGGGAGACGGAAUUUUUACUUUGAAAAAAUCAGAGUGUUUCAAGCAGGCAGCUCGCUCUUGCAUGGAUUAGCAUGGGAUAAUGAAAUAGGACUUUGGUGCUAUUUUGUUGGUUUCGAACACCGAAGUAAUGAUGAGAAGGGACAGUCAGGGGCACUCGUAUUCCGCCGAGAGAGGUGAAAUUCUCAGACCAGCGGAAGACGAACCACUGCGAAAGCAUUUGCCAGGGAUGUUUUCACUG
rnacentral:rRNA from 1 species